rnacentral:lncRNA from 1 species
UUUACUCUCUGGCUGCUGCUACUACUUCUUGUAUUCUCAAAAAAAAACUUUUUUUUCAAUUGAAACUUACUUGUCCCAUCUUUCUACCUGCUGCUGCUAUUACUACUGCUAUGGUUUCUUUUUUUAUAUUCACUUAUCUUAAUCCUAAAUCUACUCAGGAAGCUCGUACUCCCUUUUUCACUAAGUCUGCUGAUGUUGCUGCUUCUUCUAGUUCUAACUCUAACUCAAACUAAGUCUGCUAAUGUUAAACCUAGAUCUACUCAUGAAACACAUAGUACUUCUUCUCUCCUCACUAAGUCCGCUGAUGAUGCUGCUACUACUGCUGUUGUUACUUUUUCUAACUCAACAACUAACUCUCUUUACCGUUUCAUUACUUAAUCUACAUUUUUUCGUGAAAAAAUUAGUAAUCUGAUUCAUCCUCCUCCCAACUCUGACAAGGAAGAUCUUUCUUCUCUUAAAAAAAAAUUCGAGAAUUUGAAUAAUAACCAUGAAACUGUUGUUAACGAGCUUCAACAAUUGGAAACUAAAUAUUCACUUGACCAAUUGAAGUGGGACAGGGAAAAUAAAUAUUUAAACGACCAACUUGACUCGGUCAGUUCACUCAUGAAACUCCUUUUUUUUUUUUUUUUUUUUUUUCAAAAUUUGAUUUUUACGUGUGUUGUUUUUUCAUUAUAGAAAUUUAAUUGUUUUAAUAUUUUUUUAAUUACAGUUGAAGCACG